CGGCGCGAGCGACCGCAUAAGCAGGUGACCGCGAAGAGGUGGCCGCGAGCGAAUGGCCGCGAAAAGAAUUAGCUCGCGAAGGAGGCCAACAGUAGUGGUGUUCGCGUGACAUUCAGCGAAUGGUCGCGGGGCGAGGAGUUCGCGAACGCUCGCGAAGGCUUUUCCGGCGAGCAAUUAUCACAACAAGCGGCGCUCGCUAAGUGCAAUUGGCGCCGACGCGAUUCGAUCCGGCAAAGCGCUUGGCUGAAAUUUUUCCAACAAGCUACGCACACUCUGUGGCGAAGGCAAUCUGAGGCCAGCGAGUGGUCCUUAGUGGAUAAUCUCCUGCCAACCACAGUGGCAGACGUCGAGGCGGAGGCAAGACGAAGGCUUUCGGUGCUGGAGCGGAAUCAGAGAGAGGCACUUCAGCUGGCG
rnacentral:lncRNA from 1 species